UGCGUAGGCGGGAUAAUAAGUCAGUGGUGAAAUCUUGCAGCUUAACUGUAAAAUUGCCAUUGAUACUGUUGUUCUUGAGUAUAGUUGAGGUGGGCGGAAUGUGUCAUGUAGCGGUGAAAUGCAUAGAUAUGACACAGAACACCGAUUGCGAAGGCAGCUCACUAAACUAUUACUGACGCUGAGGCACGAAAGCGUGGGGAGUGAACAGGAUUAGAUACCCUGGUAGUCC
rnacentral:rRNA from 1 species